UAUACAAGGUUAUGGAAACA
rnacentral:misc_RNA from 1 species